UUGUAAGUGUUUAAGAGCGCAUGGUGGAUGCCUUGGCACUGGGAGCCGAUGAAGGACGUGGGAGGCUGCGAUAUGCCUCGGGGAGCUGUCAACCGAGCGUUGAUCCGAGGAUGUCCGAAUGGGGAAACCCGGCACGAGUGAUGUCGUGUCACCCGGCACUGAAUACAUAGGUGUCGGGGGGGAACGCGGGGAAGUGAAACAUCUCAGUACCCGUAGGAAGAGAAAACAAUUGUGAUUCCGUGAGUAGUGGCGAGCGAAAGCGGAGGAUGGCUAAACCGUAUGCAUGUGAUACCCGGCGGGGGUUGUGUGUGCGGGGUUGUGGGGCGUUUCUUCUCCUUUCCGCCGAGAGGGGCAACAGUGAUAAAGGUUCGUGUUAGUCGAAGUGGUUUUGGGAUGACCUGUCGUAGAGGGUGAGAGCCCCGUAGGCGAAAACGCGAACUCUGUUGUGGAGCUGUCCCCGAGUAGCAGCGGGCCCGUGGAAUCUGCUGUGAAUCUGCCGGGACCACCCGGUAAGCCUGAAUACUUCUCAGUGACCGAUAGCGGAUUAGUACCGUGAGGGAAUGGUGAAAAGUACCCCGGGAGGGGAGUGAAAGAGUACCUGAAACCGUGCGCUUACAAUCCGUCAGAGCCCUCGUUCUACGUGGGGUGAUGGCGUGCCUUUUGAAGAAUGAGCCUGCGAGUCAGGGACAUGUCGCGAGGUUAACCCGGGUGGGGUAGCCGCAGCGAAAGCGAGUCUGAAUAGGGCGUAUCCACACAAGAGUGUGUGGUGUAGUGGUGUGUUCUGGACCCGAAGCGGAGUGAUCUACCCAUGGCCAGGGUGAAGCGCGGGUAAGACCGCGUGGAGGCCCGAACCCACUUAGGUUGAAGACUGAGGGGAUGAGCUGUGGGUAGGGGUGAAAGGCCAAUCAAACUCCGUGAUAGCUGGUUCUCCCCGAAAUGCAUUUAGGUGCAGCGUCACAUGUUUCUUGUUGGAGGUAGAGCUACUGGAUGGCCGAUGGGCCCUACUAGGUUACUGACGUCAGCCAAACUCCGAAUGCCGACAAGUGAAAGUGUGGCAGUGAGACGGCGGGGGAUAAGCUCCGUGCGUCGAGAGGGAAACAGCCCAGAUCGCCGGCUAAGGCCCCUAAGCGUGUGCUAAGUGGAAAAGGAUGUGCAGUCGCGAAGACAACCAGGAGGUUGGCUUAGAAGCAGCCACCCUUGAAAGAGUGCGUAAUAGCUCACUGGUCAAGUGAUUGUGCGCCGAUAAUGUAGCGGGGCUCAAGCACACCGCCGAAGCCGCGGCAAUCAACGUUAGUUGGUUGGGUAGGGGAGCGUCCUGCAUCCGGUGAAGCAGCGGAGUGAUCCAGCUGUGGAGGGUGUGGGAGUGAGAAUGCAGGCAUGAGUAGCGAUAAGGCAAGUGAGAACCUUGCCCGCCGAAAGACCAAGGGUUCCUGGGCCAGGCCAGUCCGCCCAGGGUGAGUCGGGACCUAAGGCGAGGCCGACAGGCGUAGUCGAUGGACAACGGGUUGAUAUUCCCGUACCCGUGUGUGAGCGUCCCUGAUGAAUCAGCGGUACUAACCGCCCAAACCAUGCGUUACCGAUCACCUUCGGGUGUGAGGAUUGCAUGCGCUGCGCGGGACCUUCGUUGGUAGUAGUCAAGCGAUGGGGUGACGCAGGAAGGUAGCCGUACCAGUCAGUGGUAAUACUGGGGCAAACCGGUAGGACGACAUCUAGGCAAAUCCGGGUGUCAUGUAAGUCCGAGAGGUGAUGCAUAGCCGGAUGAGGUGAAUUCGGUGAUCCUAUGCUGCCAAGAAAAGCCUCUAGCGAGCGCACACACGGCCCGUACCCCAAACCGACACAGGUGGUCAGGUAGAGAAUACCAAGGCGUACGAGUGAACUAUGGUUAAGGAACUCGGCAAAAUGCCCCCGUAACUUCGGGAGAAGGGGGACCCCCACAUCGUCAUGGCCCUUGCGGCCGGCAGCGGGAGGGGGUGGCACAAACCAGUGAGAAGCGACUGUUUACUAAAAACACAGGUCCGUGCGAAGUCGCAAGACGAUGUAUACGGACUGACGCCUGCCCGGUGCUGGAAGGUUAAGAGGACCGGUUAACCCUUCGGGGUGAAGCUGAGAAUUUAAGCCCCAGUAAACGGCGGUGGUAACUAUAACCAUCCUAAGGUAGCGAAAUUCCUUGUCGGGUAAGUUCCGACCUGCACGAAUGGCGUAACGACUUCUCAACUGUCUCAACCAUAGACUCGGCGAAAUUGCAUUACGAGUAAAGAUGCUCGUUACGCGCGGCAGGACGAAAAGACCCCGGGACCUUCACUACAACUUGGUAUUGGAGUUCGAUACGGUUUGUGUAGGAUAGGUGGGAGACUGUGAAGCGGCCACGCCAGUGGUUGUGGAGUCGUUGUUGAAAUACCACUCUGAUCGUAUUGGGCUUCUAACCUCGGACCGUAUAUCCGGUUCAGGGACAGUGCCUGGUGGGUAGUUUAACUGGGGCGGUUGCCUCCUAAAAUGUAACGGAGGCGCCCAAAGGUUCCCUCAACCUGGACGGCAAUCAGGUGUUGAGUGUAAGUGCACAAGGGAGCUUGACUGCGAGACGUACAUGUCGAGCAGGGACGAAAGUCGGGACUAGUGAUCCGGCACCCCCGAGUGGAAGGGGUGUCGCUCAACGGAUAAAAGGUACCCCGGGGAUAACAGGCUGAUCUUCCCCAAGAGUCCAUAUCGACGGGAUGGUUUGGCACCUCGAUGUCGGCUCGUCGCAUCCUGGGGCUGGAGCAGGUCCCAAGGGUUGGGCUGUUCGCCCAUUAAAGCGGCACGCGAGCUGGGUUUAGAACGUCGUGAGACAGUUCGGUCUCUAUCCGCCGCGCGCGUCAGAAGCUUGAGGAAACCUGUCCCUAGUACGAGAGGACCGGGACGGACGAACCUCUGGUAUACCAGUUGUCCCACCAGGGGCACCGCUGGAUAGCCACGUUCGGACAGGAUAACCGCUGAAAGCAUCUAAGCGGGAAACCCCCUCCAAGACCAGGCUUCUCACCCAUUUAAGUGGGAUAAGGCCCCCCGCAGACCACGGGAUCGAUAGGCCAGACCUGGAAACGCAGCAAUGCGCGUAGGGAACUGGCACUAACCGGCCGAAAACUUACAACA
rnacentral:rRNA from 1 species